GGAUGAAUAUUCGGCAAUGGGGGCAACCCUGACCGAGCAACGCCGCGUGGAGGAUGACGGUUUUCGGAUUGUAAACUCCUUUUCUCAGGGAAGAGCGAGGACGGUACCUGAGGAAUAAGUCACGGCUAACUACGUGCCAGCAGCCGCGGUAAUACGUAGGUGGCAAGCGUUAUCCGGAAUUACUGGGCGUAAAGCGCACGCAGGUGGCUGCUUAAGUCUGACGUGAAAGCUCCUGGCUUAACUGGGAGAG
rnacentral:rRNA from 1 species